GAUGAACGCUGGCGGUAUGCUUAACACAUGCAAGUCGAACGGACUCUUCGGAGUUAGUGGCGGACGGGUGAGUAACGCGUGAGAAUCUGGCUUUGGGUUCGGGACAACCACUGGAAACGGUGGCUAAUACCGGAUGUGCCGAGAGGUAAAAGAGAAAUUGCCUGAAGAUGAGCUCGCGUCUGGUUAGCUAGUUGGUGAGGUAAAGGCUCACCAAGGCAGCGAUCAGUAGCUGGUCUGAGAGGAUGACCAGCCACACUGGGACUGAGACACGGCCCAGACUCCUACGGGAGGAAGCAGUGGGGAAUUUUCCGCAAUGGGCGAAAGCCUGACGGAGCAAUACCGCGUGAGGGAAGAAGGCUCUUGGGUUGUAAACCUCUUUUCUUAGGGAAGAACAAAAUGACGGUACCUAAGGAAUCAGCAUCGGCUAACUCCGUG
rnacentral:rRNA from 1 species